rnacentral:siRNA from 1 species
AGGUUUUUACACGUUUGGGAUGCA